rnacentral:rRNA from 1 species
GUAGGUGGCAAGCGUUGUCCGGAAUUAUUGGGCGUAAAGCGCGCGCAGGCGGUUCUUUAAGUCUGAUGUGAAAGCCCACGGGCUCAACCGUGGAGGGUCAUUGGAAACUGGAGAACUUGAGUACAGAAGAGGAAAGCGGAAUUCCACGUGUAGCGGUGAAAUGCGUAGAGAUGUGGAGGAACACCAGUGGCGAAGGCGGCUUUCUGGUCUGUAACUGACGCUGAGGCGCGAAAGCGUGGGGAGCAAACAGGAUUAGAUACCCUGGUAGUCCACGCCGUAACCGAUGAGUGCUAAGUGUUAGGGGGUUUCCGCCCCUUAGUGCUGCAGCUAACGCAUUAAGCACUCCGCCUGGGGAGUACGGCCGCAAGGCUG